GUGCCCACAUCAGCAUGUAUACCAAACUUGGAAUGAUAUAGAGAAGAAUAGCAUGGUUCUUGCACAAAGAUGACAUGCAAAUACAUGAAGCAUUCCAUAUUUUU
ensembl:snRNA U6 U6 spliceosomal RNA